rnacentral:lncRNA from 1 species
CGUCAACAAGAUAAUUUCACAGUCAGCUUAUUCUCUGCUUAUAUUUAAUGAGUAACCCUCUCAGCUAUCUGGUAACCUCAGUGCUGAUUACAAGUAUUUGUUCAGUCAAGAACUCCAGUUCCAGGCCAUGGAUAUUAUUAUGUCAGGUAGGCAGAAUUAUACUCAGCUGACACUUACACGACCUGCUCUUCUGGGGGCUUGAAGUUGAAGCCCGGCGGCGG